AAUCAAGCUAGAAAGGGCACAUAGUGGAUGCCUUGGUGCUAGAAGGCGAUGAAAGACGUGAUAAGCUGCGAAAAGCUUCGGUGAGCUGCAAAUAAGCUAUGACCCGGAGAUAUCUGAAUGGGGUAACCUAAUACCAUUAAUAUGGUAUUGUUCCUUCCUGAAUAAAAUAAGGAAGGAAACGCAAAACCUGCUGAAUUGAAACAUCUUAGUAAGCAGAGGAAAAGAAAUCAAACGAGAUUCCGUAAGUAGUGGCGAGCGAACGCGGAACAGCCUAACCAUUAGUUGAUUAACGACGAUAGGAGAAUGCUUUGGAAAGAGCAGACAAAGAGGGUGACAUCCCCGUAUCCGAAAUCCAAGUUAACUAGGUGAAAGUAGCACACCACACGUGAAACGGUGUGUGAAGAUGGGGGGACCACCCUCCAAGGCUAAAUACUAACUAGCGACCGAUAGUGAACCAGUACCGUGAGGGAAAGGUGAAAAGUACCCCUGUGAGGGGAGUGAAAUAGAACCUGAAACCAUGUGCCUACAAGGUGUGAGAGCUCUUCGGAGUGAUCGCGUGCCUUUUGCUUAAUGAGUCUGCGAGUCAGUAUAUGUAGCGAGCUUAACUCCUUCCGGGAGGCAGGCGUAGGGAAACCAAGUCCGAAUAGGGCGUCAAUGAGUUGCAUGUGCUGGACCCGAAACGGAGGUGACCUACCCAUGGCCAGGUUGAAGCAGCGGUAAAACGCUGUGGAGGACCGAACCGAUGUGUGUUGAAAAACGCUCGGAUGAGCUGUGGGUCGGAGUGAAAGGCUAAUCAAACCCCGUGAUAGCUGGUUCUCCUCGAAAUGCAUUUAGGUGCAGCGUUAUGUGUUGAUGAGUGGGGGUAGAGCACUGAAAGGGCUAGGGGGCAUACCCGUCUACCGACCCCUAUCAAACUCCGAAUACCAUUCAAUAGAAC
rnacentral:rRNA from 1 species